rnacentral:rRNA from 1 species
GACGAACGCUGGCGGCGUGCUUAACACAUGCAAGUCGAACGGAAAGGCCCUGCUUUUGUGGGGUGCUCGAGUGGCGAACGGGUGAGUAACACGUGAGUAACCUGCCCUUGACUUUGGGAUAACUUCAGGAAACUGGGGCUAAUACCGGAUAGGAGCUCCUGCUGCAUGGUGGGGGUUGGAAAGUUUCGGCGGUUGGGGAUGGACUCGCGGCUUAUCAGCUUGUUGGUGGGGUAGUGGCUUACCAAGGCUUUGACGGGUAGCCGGCCUGAGAGGGUGACCGGCCACAUUGGGACUGAGAUACGGCCCAGACUCCUACGGGAGGCAGCAGUGGGGAAUAUUGCACAAUGGGCGGAAGCCUGAUGCAGCAACGCCGCGUGCGGGAUGAAGGCCUUCGGGUUGUAAACCGCUUUCGCCUGUGACGAAGCGUGAGUGACGGUAAUGGGUUAAGAAGCACCGGCUAACUACGUG